rnacentral:rRNA from 1 species
CAAAAACAUAGCCUUAGGAAAAGAUGUAAGGUAAGCCCUGCCCGGUGAAGGUUUAACGGCCGCAGUACCCUGACUGUGCUAAGGUAGCGUAAUCAGUUGGCUUUUAAAUGGAGUCGAGAAUGAAUGGGUCCAUGGGGGAGUGCUGUCUCCAAUUUGUUAAGUAGAAUUUACUUAGUGGGUGAAAAUUCCCAUAAAUAGAAAAAAGACGAGAAGACCCUUAGAAUCUACGCGAAUGUGUAUAGUCUACACCAAGUUUUUGUUGGGGCGACAGCGGGGCAAGAAAAUAUUUUGCUUAACAGCAGGUAAUGAUGAACCCCCGUACUUAGGUAUUACACGACGACAAUAGUAAGCAAGAUUAGAUUACCUGAGGGAUAACAGCAUAAUUUUAGUAAGCUUGUGACCUCGAUGUUGGACUAGGGACUUUACGACUAGCCGUCGCAAUAGUAGGAUCUGUUCGAUCUUUUUUACCCUACGUGAUCUGAGUNC